UACGUAGGAGACGAGCGUUGUCCGGAAUUACUGGGCGUAAAGCGCGUGUAGGCGGCUGAGCAAGUCUGCUGUGAAAGCUCCUGGCUUAACCGGGAGUGGUCGGUGGAAACUGCUCGUCUGGAGGACGGUAGAGGUAGGUAGAAUUCCCGGUGUAGUGGUGAAAUGCGUAGAUAUCGGGAGGAACACCAGUGGCGAAGGCGAGUCUCUGGGAUGAUGCUGACGCUGAGGCGCGAAAGCCAGGGGAGCAAACGGG
rnacentral:rRNA from 1 species